GUUUCUUAUUUACACAUGACAAACUUUUCUUUAAUCAAAUCAUCAAUGAAAUGGCUGUCAAUAAUAUUAUAAAAAAUAAAUAAAUACAUAAAUAAAUAAACCCUAAUUUUAUACAAAAGCUGUAGAAACAUUGGUAAACACUAACAUAAACCUUAGAAACCUACAAUUCCAAGUACCGGUAAUUCUUCACUACUUAUAAUGGACAUGCUGUCGUGCAUGCUCUAUAGCAAACAUUCAGCCUUAUACUCCAACUUUUAACAUUUAAAAUGUCAUUAUUGUUUGACGUGUGGGUCAAAGGUAAUUUUAAAUAAUGCAUUGAUACGAAGAAAAAAUAUUGUUACCUUAUAAAAAAAAAGUAUGCACUCCUAGUUCUUCGGCUCUAGAAAGUCUGGAUAAACAUGAGAAUGAUUGACUAGGAUUACCUUACAAAGUUCCCAUUUCAGACCUUGCGAUCCAUAGGACAGAUGAUGUACAGGGCAUCUGUUUUGUGGCCCACG